rnacentral:rRNA from 1 species
AGAGUUUGAUCCUGGCUCAGAUUGAACGCUGGCGGCAUGGCUAAAACAUGCAAGUCGAACGAUGAAAGCACCUUCGGGUGUGCAUGAAGUGGCGAAAGGGCGAGGAAUACGUUCCUACGUACCCCAAGGUCAGGGAUAGCCCCGGGAAACUGGGAGUAAUACCUGAUGACAUCUCCGGAUCAAAGGCUUCGGCCACCUUGGGAGCGGGGAACGCCCUAUCAGGUUGUUGGUGAGGUAACGGCUCACCAAGCCAAAGACGGGUAGCGGGUGUGAGAGCAUGACCCGCCGCAUCGGGACUGAGACACUGCCCGGACUCCUACGGGAGGCUGCAGUAACGAAUAUUCCGCAAUGCGCGAAAGCGUGACGGAGCAAUGCCGCGUGUGGGAUGAAUCUCUUCGGAGUGUAAACCACUGUCAGAGUUUAGGAACUCAAUGACCAGACUCAAAGGAAGGACCGGCUAACUUCGUGCCAGCAGCCGCGGUAAUACGAAGGGUCCGAGCGUUAAUCGGAAUCACUGGGCUUAAAGCGUGCGUAGGCGGACUUGAAGGCACCUUGUGAAAUCCCUCGGCUCAACCGAGGAACUGCAGGGUGAACCAUGAGUCUCGAGACAGGUAGAGGUUGUCGGAACGAUAGGUGGAGUGGUGAAAUGCGUUGAUAUCUAUCGGAACGCCAAUGGAGAAGUCAGGCAACUGGGCCUGUUCUGACGCUGAGGCACGAAAGCGUGGGUAGCGAACGGGAUUAGAUACCCCGGUAGUCCACGCCGUAAACGAUGCGUACUAGGUUGGGGAAGCUCUGACGCUGUUCCCGGCUGAAGCAAAAGUAUUAAGUACGCCGCCUGGGGAGUACGGUCGCAAGGCUAAAACUCAAAGGAAUUGACGGGGGCUCACACAAGCGGUGGAGCAUGUGGCUUAAUUCGAAGCAACGCGAAGAACCUUAUCCUGGGCUUGACAUGUACGAAUUAGCCUGUUGAAAGACAGGUGACGCCUUCGGGUGGAACGUACACAGGUGCUGCAUGGCUGUCGGCAGCACGUGCUGUG